rnacentral:rRNA from 1 species
CAGUCGCCGCGGUAAUACGAAGGGUGCAAGCGUUAAUCGGAAUUACUGGGCGUAAAGCGUGCGUAGGCGGUUUGUUAAGUCUGUUGUGAAAUCCCCGGGCUCAACCUGGGAAUGGCAAUGGAUACUGGCAAGCUAGAGUGUGUCAGAGGAUGGUGGAAUUCCCGGUGUAGCGGUGAAAUGCGUAGAGAUCGGGAGGAACAUCAGUGGCGAAGGCGGCCAUCUGGGACAACACUGACGCUGAGGCACGAAAGCGUGGGGAGCAAACAGGAUUAGAUACCCGUGUAGUCCCUGUCUCUUAUAA